GACGAACGCUGGCGGCGUGCUUAACACAUGCAAGUCGAACGAAGUGGCGAACGUGUGAGUAACGCGUAAUCAACCUGCCCUUCCGAGGGGGACAACAUUUGGAAACGACUGCUAAUACCGCAUACUGAAGGAGGGGAUUGCGUCUGCUUAGCUCGUUGGCGGGGUAACGGCCCACCAAGGCGAUGAUCAGUAGCCGGUCUGAGAGGAUGAACGGCCACAUGGGGACUGGGAAACGGCCCAGAAUCCUACGGGAGGCAGCAGUGGGGAAUCUUCCGAAAUGGACGAAAGUCUGACGGAGCAACGCCGCGUGAGUGAUGACGGCCUUCGGGUUGUAAAGCUCUGUUAAUCGGGACGCGGUACCGGAAUAGAAAGCCACGGCUAACUACGUGCCAGCAGCCGCGGUAAUUC
rnacentral:rRNA from 1 species